ensembl:snRNA U6 U6 spliceosomal RNA
GUGCUCAUUUCAGAAGCACAUAUACCAAAAUUGGAACAAUACAGAGAAGAUUAGCAUGGCCUCUGCACAAAAAUGACAUGCAAAUUUGUGAAGGCUUGUAUAUGUAU